rnacentral:snoRNA from 1 species
CAGCAUGUUUCCAAGGGCUGUGGCUGGUUGUAGCCAUGGGAUCUCCAACUGCAUGCCAGAGUAACUGGAGAGACUUUGACAGCGCAGGUCAGCACAGUGCCUGCAGCUGCCACUCAGCUUUCCUAUAUAU